rnacentral:rRNA from 1 species
AAGGGCAUCGCUGGGUAGCUAUGUGCGGACGGGAUAAGUGCUGAAAGCAUCUAAGCAUGAAGCCCCCCUCAAGAUGAGAUUUCCCAUUCCUAUAAGGAAGUAAGAUCCCUGAAAGAUGAUCAGGUUGAUAGGUCUGAGGUGGAAGUGUGGCGACACAUGGAGCUGACAGAUACUAAUCGAUCGAGGACUUAACCUAAGCGGCUCAUCGCAUCCUGGGGCUGUAGUCGGUCCCAAGGGUUGGGCUGUUCGCCCAUUAAAGCGGUACGCGAGCUGGGUUCAGAACGUCGUGAGACAGUUCGGUCCCUAUCCGUCGCGGGCGCAGGAAAUUUGAGAGGAGCUGUCCUUAGUACGAGAGGACCGGGAUGGACGCACCGCUGGUGUACCAGUUGUUCUGCAGGGAGACAGUGUCAGGUGGGCAGUUUGACUGGGGCGGUCGCCUCCUAAAAGGUAACGGAGGCGCCCAAAGGUUCCCUCAGAAUGGUUGGAAAUCAUUCGCAGAGUGUAAAGGCACAAGGGAGCUUGACUGCGAGAGGGGAUAACAGGCUUAUCUCCCCCAAGAGUCCACAUCGACGGGGAGGUUUGGCACCUCGAUGUUACCUGUGAAGAUGCAGGUUACCCGCGACAGGACGGAAAGACCCCGUGGAGCUUUACUGCAGCCUGAUAUUGAAUGUUGGUACAGCUUGUACAGGAUAGGUAGGAGCCUUGGAAACCGGAGCGCCAGCUUCGGUGGAGGCAUCGGUGGGAUACUACCCUGGCUGUAUUGACCUUCUAACCCGCUGCCCUUAUCGGGCCGGCUGACGCCUGCCCGGUGCUGGAAGGUUAAGAGGAGCGCUUAGCGUAAGCGAAGGUGCGAAUUGAAGCCCCAGUAAACGGCGGCCGUAACUAUAACGGUCCUAAGGUAGCGAAAUUCCUUGUCGGGUAAGUUCCGACCCGCACGAAAGGCGCAACGAUCUGGGCACUGUCUCAACGAGAGACUCGGUGAAAUUAUACACCGACACAGGUAGGCGAGGAGAGAAUCCUAAGGUGAUCGAGAGAACUCUCGUUAAGGAACUCGGCAAAAUGACCCCGUAACUUCGGGAGAAGGGGUGCUCUGUUAGGGUGCAAGCCCGAGAGAGCCGCAGUGAAUAGGCCCAGGCGACUGUUUAGCAAAAACACAGGUCUCUGCGAAGCCGRAAGGCGAAGUAUAGUUUUGAGCAAUGGGGGGACGCAGGAGGAUAGGGRAAGCGCGGUAUUGGAUAUCCGCGUCCAAGCAGUUAGGCUGGGAAAUAGGCAAAUCCGUUUCCCGUAAGGCUGAGCUGUGAUGGCGAGCGAAAUAUAGUAGCGAAGUUCCUGAUUCCACACUGCCAAGAAAAGCCUCUAGCGAGGUGAGAGGUGCCCGUACCGCAUGACCGGAAGGACUCGUGGAGCGCUUAGAAGUGAGAAUGCCGGUAUGAGUAGCGAAAGAGGGGUGAGAAUCCCCUCCACCGAAUGCCUAAGGUUUCCUGAGGAAGGCUCGUCCGCUCAGGGUUAGUCGGGACCUAAGCCGAGGCCGAAAGGCGUAGGCGAUGGACAACAGGUUGAUAUUCCUGUACCACCUCCUCACCUCGUUAAGUGGAAAAGGAUGUGGAGUUGCUUAGACAACCAGGAUGUUGGCUUAGAAGCAGCCACCAUUUAAAGAGUGCGUAAUAGCUCACUGGUCGAGUGACUCUGCGCCGAAAAUGUACCGGGGCUAAACGUAUCACCGAAGCUGCGGACUGUUCUUGCGAACAGUGGUAGGAGAGCGUUCUAAGGGCUGUGAAGCGUCGAAAUAGCUUUAGGGCUAGCCUCAAGGUAAGAGUCUUGGAGGUAGAGCACUGAUUGGACUAGGGGCCCCUACCGGGUUACCGAAUUCAGUCAAACUCCGAAUGCCAAAGACUUAUCCUUGGGAGUCAGACUGCGAGUGAUAAGAUCCGUAGUCGAAAGGGAAACAGCCCAGACCGCCAGCUAAGGUCCCAAAGUAUGGAGCCGCAGCGAAAGCGAGUCUGAAUAGGGCGCAUGAGUACGUGGUCGUAGACCCGAAACCAGGUGAUCUACCCAUGUCCAGGGUGAAGUUCAGGUAACACUGAAUGGAGGCCCGAACCCACGCACGUUGAAAAGUGCGGGGAUGAGGUGUGGGUAGGGGUGAAAUGCCAAUCGAACCUGGAGAUAGCUGGUUCUCUCAAGGCUAAAUACUCCCUAGUGACCGAUAGUGAACCAGUACCGUGAGGGAAAGGUGAAAAGCACCCCGGAAGGGGAGUGAAAGAGAUCCUGAAACCGUGUGCCUACAAGUAGUCAGAGCCCGUUAACGGGUGAUGGCGUGCCUUUUGUAGAAUGAACCGGCGAGUUACGAUCCCGUGCAAGGUUAAGUUUGAAAAGACGCCAAACCAAGAGGCUUGCCUCUUGGGGUUGUAGGACACUCUGUACGGAGUUACAAAAGAACGAGYUAGAUGAAGAGGUCUGGAAAGGCCCGCCAUAGGAGGUAACAGCCCUGUAGUCAAAACUUCGUUCUCUCCUGAGUGGAUCCUGAGUACGGCGGAACACGUGAAAUUCCGUCGGAAUCCGGGAGGACCAUCUCCGAUGCUUCGGGGAGCUGUAAGCAAGCUUUGAUCCGGAGAUUUCCGAAUGGGGAAACCCACUGCUCGUAAUGGAGCAGUAUCCAUAUCUGAAUUCAUAGGAUAUGAGAAGGCAGACCCGGGGAACUGAAACAUCUAAGUACCCGGAGGAAGAGAAAGCAAAUGCGAUUCCCUGAGUAGCGGCGAGCGAAACGGGAACAGAGC